GCCGGGCAUGGUGGUGCAUGCCUGUAGUCCCAGCUACUCAGGAGGCUGAGGCAGGAGAAUCGCUUGAACCCGGGGGGCAGAGGGUGUGGUGAGCUGAGAUCAUGCCACUGCACUCAGGCUCGGGCAACAGAGCGAGAUUCCGUCUCAU
ensembl:misc_RNA Metazoa_SRP Metazoan signal recognition particle RNA